AUGGGAACGCGAAGAACCUUACCUAGACUUGACAUCUUCUGCAUUAAUCGUAAUGGAUGAAAUCCCUUCGGGGACAGAAUGACAGGUGGUGCAUGGUUGUCGUCAGCUCGUGUCGUGAGAUGUUGGGUUAAGUCCCGCAACGAGCGCAACCCCUAUUAUUAGUUGCUAACAUUAAGUUGAGCACUCUAGUGAGACUGCCCGGGUUAACCGGGAGGGAGGUGGGGAUGACGUCAAAUCAUCAUGCCCCUUAUGUCUAGGGCUACACACGUGCUACAAUGGUGGGAACAAAGAGAUGCAAUACCGCAAGGUGGAGCUAAACUCAAAAACCCCAUCCCAGUUCGGAUUGUAGGCUGAAACUCGCCUACAUGAAGCUGGAGUUGCUAGUAAUCGCGAAUCAGAAUGUCGCGGUGAAUACGUUCCCGGGUCUUGUACACACCG
rnacentral:rRNA from 1 species